UUGGAACCAAAUUUACGAACUCCGAUGCAAAAACAUAAGCACGUCAAGGGCCAGCAUGAUGCAAUAAAAUUUCUGUUUACAUUUUUUGUGCAGUUUGGGUUGUAUUUUGUAGGCAGUUUAUUCUGCUUAAUUCUGGUAAAUAUGUUAUAAUUGAACGUGUCGUCAGGCGAAAGCCGACAGAUUUGAAUUGUGAUUCGGCAGGAGUGAUAGUUUUUCCUUAUAUAGGCAUGGCCGAUAAGAAAAUCAUCCUGGUCUACAAGCGGCCUGAAUAGCAGAACAAACAGGUCGAACCUACAGUCGACGACAUUCUUCAUCUAGAUUCAGGUCCCGAUCGCAAUCUCGACGUCGCACAACGUAUGGCAAAGAUGGGUCAAAUGUUAGCGAUGAUGUGAAUGAUCUCAUGAUGGCUUGGUUGCUGCUGCUGCUACUCGAAAAGCCACGAAAAUGGCAAGUACAAACAGCGCGGAACAACAGGACAAAAAAGAUGACAUUACUGCACAGUUAUUCUUGGAAAGUGCUUUAAGACAUCCUGGAUCAGGCCAGAACUGAAGCUGAUGCCGAUAUUCUUGCGAACUUGUGUGCAGCUGGUGUCACGGCCGGUGGUAGUCUGGCUGUCUCUACCCCAAAAAGGGCCUAGUGAACGAAGUUGUGUCCUAGUGGAUUGAUCUGUGAUUGUAGCGAACAGAGUUGUCCGUAUCCUCUGUGCGGUAAAGAGAAAUUCCAAUUUCACCUCACACUCUUCGAACUGUAACGAGAGCGCUACUCUUUUGUCCGUGCUCACCACGCUUUCUGUGUACGUGCGCGACAAUGAGUGUGAAAAAAACAAAUAAAAAACUCUCAACACUGGGCUGCGCUACAGCGUAGAAAACUACUCCCAAAUUCACCAAGGCGAAUGAAGAUAAACUCACCGACGCGCGCUCCAGUGAGAUUUCUAGCGUUGCAGAGCUAGCUGCACGAAAGUUUCAGACUAAUGAAUUCAUUAUUGCCGGUUGAUAAUUUUUUACUAAAAACAUUUUUAUUUAGCAUUUUACGCGCCGUAAUAGCAGACAUGAAUCCUGGUGUCUUGUCAACUUCAAGAAUGAAAUUCCUUGAUUUUCAGCUUUUACUAAAAUGGUGUUUUUUUCCAAUACAUGCUUUUCUCGAAUGUACCAGGAGGAGUCCAAAUGAACAUUACCGUUAACAGAGUCUAGAAAUGAGACAUAAGCAAUGUAUUCGUGAAAAAAAAAACAGCCUAGUCUAACUUAAUUAAAAUCACAAAAUAGACAUGUUUUGGCAGAUUAUUUUCGCAAAGCCAACCUCGUAUUUUAUAUUUUUAUGCUUAUUAAAAAUUUUUUCUUAAACCGUUAUGUGCUCGACGGGGUACCCGAAUACCAUUUUAGGUUUCACAAGACGAAAUUUCAUACUUUUAUUCUGGAAGAAUAUUCUCAUUGCUGGAAAUUCGGUUGUUCGGAGAUAUGUUCCGAAGCGGAAAAAUUUUAUAAAUAUUUGACAGAAUCUUACUACUAUUGGUUCAAAGUUUAUAAAAUUAUAUUCACAGGACAUAUUUAUGGUUUUGGGUGUUAUGGAGAUAUGCUCUCAAAAUAGUCAUACGGAACAGAUUCCACGGGGGCUUUUGGUGGCCAUAAAAACAAUUAAAAAAUACUACGUCACAUACCAAUAUGGGUAUUUUUGAACCGGGGUGAAAUCUAGAGGCAGAAUAACGACCCCCGACGCCAUUUUGGAAUUCCAAAAUGGCGGCUUCCGGUUUUCCGGAAUCGGUACGAUGUCCAGAGACUGGAAAUCAACCUCGGACGCCAUUUGAAAUUUAAUAUGGUCACUUCCAGUAUCCGGCAAACAGCUAAAAUCGGCCAAAUAUCACGUAAUAUAGAUACUGUCGGAAUCGGGAUGCUGUCCAGAGACCUCAAAACGACAUCAAACGACAUCAAACGACCCGGAAGUUACCACCGUGAAUUUCAAAAUGGCGUGUGAAAUUAAUUUCCGGUCUCUAGGCCUGGUAUUCAGCCAUUUUUGUAUCUAUUCCAGAAACCGGAAAUCGAGCAAGUCAUCGUAUGCUCGAAUUUCGACUGAUAUAGUUAUUGAGAUAUAACUCAUAAACGUUGGCUGGCAAAAAUUAUUUUCGAUUUCACACUAUUUUGUAACUAAAGACAAUUUUGCCCUGAGAAAAUGUUCAUUUUUCUUCUCCCGAUUGAAUCCGUUUCCGUUUCCGCUUUUCCAUUCUUUUUCCGUGCUCUGAAUGAGUAUGUUCAGAAAGAGACUUUACUACGAGGAAAACAUUCUGCAAACAUUUUUUUAGCAAUCGAAUUUUAUGUUGUUGUAAUCAACAGGCUAUCGAAUCAAUAUCUAGUAGAACCUGCCAUACAAAUAUACUUUUUAGCGAUUGGAUAAGAGUGAGAAAAUAAAUCGUUGUUAACCAAUUUGAAAUGUCUUAUUCCACUUAUGCCACAUUAAAAUUUUUAUGAAUAACACUAGCAUAGGUGUAAUCUGUACUCGGUAAUUUUUACAAACCACCAGUAAAAUUAACAAGAAUGAACAGAAAACUAGCAUUCACAGUCAUUGGCGUCGAAAAAUAUUCUUGGCGGAGCACCGAUUUAGAAUCACCUAUGGCGGCGGCGCACACGACUUAUCACGUCUCUUACGUACAAAAGAGAAAAUAAGCUUUGAAUCACUAAGUAGGUACUAGUACACUUUAGUCGAUUUGUUUACGGGUAUUAAAUUUGUUCACGGGUAAAUUAGGGCCCCUUAUUUAUUCUGGAUUCACGCGUUUUUUGUACGCGGAGUUUUUAUGCGUCACGUAUCUUCCGCGUAAAGAGCGAAUUGAGUACAUCGAUCAUUCAUUUUUUAAAUAAUAACUUCCAUUUUACAAUUUUGAAAAGCUUGCCCCCAUGAUCCAAAUCCUGCCUACGCCCAUGUCAUGACACAAGUGUUCUUCACAUCGGUUCAUUUUUUGACUGGCGCUGGAACUCGUUAAACAAAAAUUGCUGCAAUCUGGUCAAAUCUGUAUGACGUACAAGAUAGAGACCAACAACGGAUGUUUCUUCGCACCAGUGUACGCUAUAGCGCCGCGCACGGGUGAAUGUAGACGAGAGCGCAAGAGAGCAACUUUUUGGAAGAGAAUGUAACGCACUCGCACUUUGUCUAUCAAGCACUAGCGCACACUCUCGUGCGGCAUAUUUGUUACUAAAAGAAAAGAGUCUCUUUCUCGGUGUGGUGAGUUAUGCUCUAUCUCCUCUUUGUUCGUACAAUUCUUGCACGUCAGUGGAUCGCCUGUGCGAAAUGCCAACUCUGGUAGCGAAUAGGGCUUUAUUACAGAAGAGUCGACUCGACUCGCCCAUGUAUUUCAAAUGAGGCGAGUUGCUCUUAGUAGCUACUGUAAUAUGGCCCUAUGAUGUGAGAUUUCUCGUCAUGUACUUUGUGAGUAGAAGAUGAUGAAAAAUAAAAUACAGUUGCUAAACCAUAUUACUCGAAGCUUUCCGCUCUCUUAAGUUA